UACGGGGGGGCAAGCGUUGUUCGGAAUUACUGGGCGUAAAGGGCUCGUAGGCGGCCAACUAAGUCAGACGUGAAAUCCCUCGGCUUAACCGGGGAACUGCGUCUGAUACUGGAUGGCUUGAGUUUGGGAGAGGGAUGCGGAAUUCCAGGUGUAGCGGUGAAAUGCGUAGAUAUCUGGAGGAACACCGGUGGCGAAGGCGGCAUCCUGGACCAAUACUGACGCUGAGGAGCGAAAGCCAGGGGAGCAAACGGG
rnacentral:rRNA from 1 species